UGGGGAAUUUUGGACAAUGGGCGAAAGCCUGAUCCAGCAAUGCCGCGUGUGUGAAGAAGGCCUUCGGGUUGUAAAGCACUUUUGUCCGGAAAGAAAUCCUUGGCUCUAAUACAGUCGGGGGAUGACGGUACCGGAAGAAUAAGCACCGGCUAACUACGUGCCAGCAGCCGCGGUAAUACGUAGGGUGCAAGCGUUAAUCGGAAUUACUGGGCGUAAAGCGUGCGCAGGCGGUUUGCUAAGACCGGUGUGAAAUCCCCGGGCUCAACCUGGGAACUGCAUUGGUGACUGGCAGGCUAGAGUAUGGCAGAGGGGGGUAGAAUUCCACGUGUAGCAGUGAAAUGCGUAGAGAUGUGGAGGAAUACCGAUGGCGAAGGCAGCCCCCUGGGCCAAUACUGACGCUCAUGCACGAAAGCGUGGGGAGCAAACAGGAUUAGAUACCCUGGUAGUCCACGCCCUAAACGAUGUCAACUAGUUGUUGGGGAUUCAUUUCCUUAGUAACGUAGCUAACGCGUGAAGUUGACCGCCUGGGGAGUACGGUCGCAAGAUUAAAACUUAAAGGAAUUGACGGGGUCAUAGCUGUUUCCU
rnacentral:rRNA from 1 species